GGCCAGAUAGCUCAGUUGGUAGAGCAGCGGACUGAAAAUCCGCGUGUCGAGGGUUCGACUCCCCCUCUGGCCACCC
rnacentral:tRNA from 4 species